CAGUAGCCACGGUAAUACGGAGGAUCCAAGCGUUAUCCGGAUUUAUUGGGUUUAAAGGGUGCGUAGGUGGCCUGUUAAGUCAGGGGUGAAAGACGGUAGCUUAACUAUCGCAGUGCCCUUGAUACUGAUGGGCUUGAAUGAACUAGAGGUAGGCGGAAUGUGACAAGUAGCGGUGAAAUGCAUAGAUAUGUCACAGAACACCAAUUGCGAAGGCAGCUUACUAUGGUUUUAUUGACACUGAGGCACGAAAGCGUGGGGAUCAAACAGGAUUAGAUACCCGCGUAGUCCCUGUCUCUUAUAC
rnacentral:rRNA from 1 species